UACGUAGGGGGCAAGCGUUGUCCGGAAUCAUUGGGCGUAAAGCGCGUGUAGGCGGCCCGAUAAGUCCGCUGUGAAAGUCCAGGGCUCAACCCUGGAAUGCCGGUGGAUACUGUCGGGCUCGAGUCCGGAAGAGGCGAGUGGAAUUCCUGGUGUAGCGGUGAAAUGCGCAGAUAUCAGGAGGAACACCGAUGGCGAAGGCAGCUCGCUGGGACGGUACUGACGCUGAGGAGCGAAAGCGUGGGUAGCAAACAGG
rnacentral:rRNA from 1 species